UGCCUAGUAACGGCGAGUGAAGCGGCAACAGCUCAAAUUUGAAAUCUGGCUUCGGCCCGAGUUGUAAUUUGUAGAGGAAGCUUUUGGUGAGGCACCUUCUGAGUCCCCUGGAACGGGGCGCCAUAGAGGGUGAGAGCCCCGUAUAGUCGGAUGCCGAUCCAAUGUAAAGCUCCUUCGACGAGUCGAGUAGUUUGGGAAUGCUGCUCAAAAUGGGAGGUAAAUUUCUUCUAAAGCUAAAUACCGGCCAGAGACCGAUAGCGCACAAGUAGAGUGAUCGAAAGAUGAAAAGCACUUUGAAAAGAGGGUUAAAUAGCACGUGAAAUUGUUGAAAGGGAAGCGUUUGUGACCAGACUUGCGCCGUUCCGAUCAUCCGGUGUUCUCACCGGUGCACUCGGGACGGCACAGGCCAGCAUCGGUUUUGGCGGGGGGACAAAGGCCCUGGGAACGUAGCUCCUCCGGGAGUGUUAUAGCCCAGGGCGUAAUGCCCUCGCCGGGACCGAGGUUCGCGCAUCUGCAAGGAUGCUGGCGUAAUGGUCACCAACGACCCGUCUUGAAACACGGACCAAGGAGUCAAGGUUUUGCGCGAGUGUUUGGGUGUAAAACCCGCACGCGUAAUGAAAGUGAACGUAGGUGAGAGCUUCGGCGCAUCAUCGACCGAUCCUGAUGUAUUCGGAUGGAUUUGAGUAAGAGCGUUAAGCCUUGGACCCGAAAGAUGGUGAACUAUGCUUGGAUAGGGUGAAGCCAGAGGAAACUCUGGUGGAGGCUCGCAGCGGUUCUGACGUGCAAAUCGAUCGUCAAAUCUGAGCA
rnacentral:rRNA from 1 species